AGAAUCAACGCUGGCGGCGUGCCUAACACAUGCAAGUCGCACGAGAAAGGGGAGCAAUCCCUGAGUAAAGUGGCGCACGGGUGAGUAACACGUGAAUGAUCUACCUCCGAGUGGGGAAUAAACUGAGAGAAAUCUUAGCUAAUACCGCAUAACACUUACGAGUCAAAGCAGCAAUGCGCUUGGAGAGGAGUUCGCGGCCGAUUAGCUAGUUGGCGGGGUAAUGGCCCACCAAGGCGAUGAUCGGUA
rnacentral:rRNA from 1 species